ACUCCUACGGGAGGCAGCAGUGGGGAAUUUUGGACAAUGGGGGCAACCCUGAUCCAGCAAUGCCGCGUGAGUGAAGAAGGCCUUCGGGUUGUAAAGCUCUUUUGUCAGGGAAGAAACGGUUUUGGCUAAUAUCCAAGACUAAUGACGUACC
rnacentral:rRNA from 1 species